rnacentral:rRNA from 1 species
CGGACGGGUGAGUAAUGUCUGGGAAACUGCCUGAUGGAGGGGGAUAACUACUGGAAACGGUAGCUAAUACCGCAUAACGUCGCAAGACCAAAGAGGGGACCUUAGGGCCUCUUGCCAUCGGAUGUGCCCAGAUGGGAUUAGCUAGUAGGUGGGGUAACGGCUCACCUAGGCGACGAUCCCUAGCUGGUCUGAGAGGAUGACCAGCCACACUGGAACUGAGACACGGUCCAG